rnacentral:rRNA from 1 species
UACGUAGGGUGCGAGCGUUGUCCGGAAUUAUUGGGCGUAAAGGGUGCGCAGGCGGUUUGUUAAGACGGAUGUGAAAUGCCCGGGCUUAACCUGGGGACGCAUACGUGACUGGCAGGCUAGAGUAUGGCAGAGGGAGGUGGAAUUCCACGUGUAGCAGUGAAAUGCGUAGAGAUGUGGAGGAACACCGAUGGCGAAGGCAGCCUCCUGGGCCGUAACUGACGCUGAGACGCGAAAGCGUGGGGAGCAAACAGG